UACGAACCGUACAAACGUUAUUCGGAAUCACUGGGCUUAAAGGGUGCGUAGGCGGCCAUGUAAGUGAGGUGUGAAAUCCCUCGGCUCAACCGAGGAACUGCGCUUCAUACUGCAUGGCUUGAGGGAGACAGGGGUAAGCGGAACUGAUGGUGGAGCGGUGAAAUGCGUUGAUAUCAUCAGGAACACCGGUGGCGAAAGCGGCUUAUUGGGUCUCUUCUGACGCUGAGGUACGAAAGCUAGGGGAGCGAACGGG
rnacentral:rRNA from 1 species